GUGGGGAAUAUUGCACAAUGGGGGAAACCCUGAUGCAGCAACGCCGCGUGAGUGAUGACGGCCUUCGGGUUGUAAAGCUCUGUCUUCAGGGACGAUAAUGACGGUACCUGAGGAGGAAGCCACGGCUAACUACGUGCCAGCAGCCGCGGUAAUACGUAGGUGGCAAGCGUUGUCCGGAUUUACUGGGCGUAAAGGGAGCGUAGGCGGACUUUUAAGUGAGAUGUGAAAUACCCGGGCUCAACUUGGGUGCUGCAUUUCAAACUGGAAGUCUAGAGUGCAGGAGAGGAGAAUGGAAUUCCUAGUGUAGCGGUGAAAUGCGUAGAGAUUAGGAAGAACACCAGUGGCGAAGGCGAUUCUCUGGACUGUAACUGACGCUGAGGCUCGAAAGCGUGGGGAGCAAACAGGAUUAGAUACCCUUGUAGUCC
rnacentral:rRNA from 1 species